rnacentral:lncRNA from 1 species
AUGUAUUUUAAUGUGAAAAUGGAUAAGUUAAAAAACCUACUUUUCGUUAAAAAUGGAAAAUUUUCAAACACACAAAUAAGGAUAAUAGCAUUUACUUCUUUUAGUAUGUUGCUAUUAAUGAUUACGGGUGAUGGCAUACAAACACCGUACAGUUAUAUAAAAAAUGCUCGUAAUGAAAUAAAAAUGAAAGAAGAAGAGAAAGAAACACUGGAAAAAAGGCUAAUAAAGGAAUUAGGAUAUACCACCUACCAUGAAUGGAAGAAAGCAGGAAUAAUUGAAUCUGAUGAGAAAGCGAAUGAUACAUGUAUGUAUGUUAAACCUCACACAGUGUUUAUACCAUUGCCCCAAGUGAAUGUAGAAGGGAAUAAAGCAAUACAAAUAAAAUAACUUUUCUCUAAUUUUAAAGCACAGUGUUCUCAAUAACUUAUCAAGUCACUCACGUAUAUAUGUACGUACUUAUUAAGUUUCUACAAUGUUCCGCUUUUUUUUUUUUUUUUUUUUAAUUUAAAAAUACUUUUACUACUAUAGUGUUACAAAAAAGAUAAACUGCUCAUUCAUGUAUUAAAAUUAUUUUUGAUUUUUGACAUUUGAUUUUUGAUUUUUGAUUUUUUUUUUUUGAUUUUUUUUUUUUGAUUCUUUUUUUUUUUUUUUUACGAGG